rnacentral:rRNA from 1 species
GAUGAACGCUGGCGGCGUGCCUAACACAUGCAAGUCGAACGAACCUGAUCUUCGGAAAAGGUUAGUGGCGCACGGGUGAGUAACACGUAGGUGACCUGCCCUGGAGUGGGGGAUAACUUCUCGAAAGAGAGGCUAAUAACGCAUACGCUCGGCCAUUCAGUUGGUCGAGUAAAGCUCCGGCGCUCCAGGAGGGGCCUGCGUCCGAUUAGCUAGUUGGUGAGGUAAUGGCUCACCAAGGCGAUGAUCGGUAGCUGGUCUGAGAGGACGAUCAGCCACACUGGCACUGACACACGGGCCAGACUCCUACGGGAGGCAGCAGUGAGGAAUAUUGGUCAAUGGGCGAAGGCCUGAACCAGCAACGCCGCGUGAGGGAUGAAGGCCUUCGGGUCGUAAACCUCUUUUCUGGGAGAAGAGACAAGGACGGUAUCCCAGGAAUAAGUCUCGGCUAACUACGUGCCAGCCGCCGCAGUAAAAC